rnacentral:rRNA from 1 species
CACGUAGUUAGCCGGAGCUUAUUCCUCAGGUACCGUCAAAUUCCUCUUUCUUCCCUGAUAAAAGAACUUUACAUUACGAAUAGCUUCUUCGUUCACGCGGCGUUGCUCGGUCAGGGUUCCCCCCAUUGCCGAAAAUUCCCUACUGCUGCCUCCCGUAGGAGUAUGGACCGUUCUCAGUUCCAUUGUGGCCGUUCAACCUCUCAGUCCGGCUACGCAUCAUCGCCUUGGUAGGCCCUUACCCCACCAACUAGCUAAUGCGCCACAGGCCCCUCCUUAAGCAGAUCUCUCUUUUAAAUAUAAAAGAUUCUUCCUCUAUAUCCUAUCCAGUUUUAUCCAUCGUUUCCAAUGGCUAUCCUCGUCUUAAGGGUAGGUUACCUAUGUAUUACUCACCCGUUCGCCACUAAAGUACCCGAAGGUACUUCCGUUCGACUUGCAUGUAUUAGGCACGCCGCCAGCGUUAAUCCUGAGCCAGGAUCAAACUCU